AGCGAUGACGUAAACACUUAUGAAGAUCUCCAAUUAAUCUGCUCCUGAUUAAUUAAGUACGAUAAAUCGAUAAUUCACGCCAAGAUGGUGUACAAACCUUAGUUGUUGGUCGGUUUCCACAGAUUCUUUUCGAAAGGUUAUAACUUCCGCAUAAGCGAAUGGUGAUGAUGUUUACCAAAAAUACUCAAAAACACACCACACUACACUGGGAUAGAAUAAUCGCUCAAUAAAUUCCCUUUUUCUAAGAAAAAUGCACCAAUCGUCCACGCGCAAACUGGUUUUCCGAGUUCGACGUCACGCCACAUGUUUUCAAACAAAAAUAAAAUACAAUUUUUCAAUUUUGCAUCGAGCAAUAAAAUAAACGAAUAUAAACCAUUGCGCUUUGAAUAUCAUUUAAAAACCCUCAAAAAAAAUCAAAAUCAACUCCAACC
rnacentral:lncRNA from 1 species